rnacentral:rRNA from 1 species
GAUGAACGCUGGCGGCGUGCCUAACACAUGCAAGUCGAGCGAUUUACUUCGGUAAAGAGCGGCGGACGGGUGAGUAACGCGUGGGUAACCUGCCCUGUACACACGGGUAACAUACCGAAAGGUAUGCUAAUACGAGAUAAUAUACUUUUAUCGCAUGGUAGAAGUAACAAAGCUCCGGCGGUACAGGAUGGACCCGCGUCUGAUUAGCUAGUUGGUAAGGUAACGGCUUACCAAGGCGACGAUCAGUAGCCGACCUGAGAGGGUGAUCGGCCACAUUGGAACUGAGACACGGUCCAAACUCCUACGGGAGGCAGCAGUGGGGAAUAUUGCACAAUGGGCGAAAGCCUGAUGCAGCAACGCCGCGUGAGCGAUGAAGGCCUUCGGGUCGUAAAGCUCUGUCCUCAAGGAAGAUAAUGACGGUACUUGAGGAGGAAGCCCCGGCUAACUACGUGCCAGCCGCCGCAGUAACAC